AUAAGAAGAAGAAAAAAAAAGAAGAAGAAGAUUAGUGAAAAAAAAAAGAGAGAAGAAAGAUGAAGGGAGCAAUGAAGGGGAUGGUGAUGGUGAUGAUGAUGGUUAUGGUAAUGGUCAUGAUGGGAAUAGGAGAAGUGAAAGGAGAGACUCCAUGUGUAAUGAAAUGCAUAAAACGUUGUUUCGGCAUAAUCCCCACACCCCCUACAUGUCUCAACACUUGUCGGAAAGCUUGUGGUGUUCCUUCUUCUACCUCAUUUCCCGACCAAGCGCCUCGGAAUGAUUUCAUAACGAUCGAGCAAUGAUGUUUCAGAAAUUAAAGUUGUUUUUUAUCUUCUUUCUAUGUUUGGAAUAGUUCUACCCUACCUUGUAAUGUUCUAUCCAUUAAUAAAAAUAAAAUCCAAACUACCAUCAUCUAAAUUAA